UCACCUGCGGGGAGAAGCCACACUAGGAACGCUUCCUCCACACAGCUAAGUGUCAGAAAGGAAGCACUGCUCAAUACUCAGAGCACAUUUAGGAAACUCCACGUGUAACCGUUUGUUAAACUACAAAACUUUUCAGUUUUAAUGUGUAGCAAUGUGUAAUACUGUAUAGCUCUUUGUGAAGCAUUUUAUGAGGCUUUACUCAGUGCACAUUAAUGUUUGCAAAAGUAGAACAACACUUGAUUAUUUAAAUCAAAUAUUGAGAGACAGGAAAGUCCUAUACUAGUGAUAGAAAGACAAGUAUUAUAUAUGUUCUUCAUGGAACACAAAAAUUGUGAAGUAUGAUUUCCUAUGGUGGAUAAUUGUUGGGAGCCGCAGCCCUGAGCCCGGUCGCCUCACUUGGCGGACGUGCGGCCUGUGGUAAAGAGCAAAGCCUGGGGUAGAUUACCCCUCCCAUCGAAUAUGUUAGUUUCCUGCUUACCGCGUAAACAACCCGCUCAACAAUAUAGUCUGCCUGGCAACUGAUGAUGUUAGCCAAUCAGCUUGCCUUGCUUACUUUAACAUGAUUGGACACUGUACCCGUAUAUAUACCGGUGCCACCCCUGGGCGGAAGAAGAAGCCAGGUAGAAGCCCGGAAGUAAAAGCCCAAAAGGAGCCGCGGAGAGCGGACCGGUAGAGGCUUUGGGGCAGACUGAAGCACAAAAGGAGCCGCGGGGAGCGGACCAGAGGAGGCUUCAGCUGGGAGAACCCAGGGCAGGCUGUACGGAGAAGGAAAAUAAAAAGAAAAGGUUGUCCACUACCAGACUUUGUCGUGUGUCCUUCCUGCCGGCCGGGAGCGGACAUCGACAUUUGGAGGCCCGCCCGGGGACUGAUCACCCCCGCGACGUGGAAGUGGACAACGCUCCAGUACAGAGCUGCGAGACAGGAACCGGGACGAGAACCACUGUGGAUACCGGAGAGACUGACACGGGCAACAAAGCCCUCGACUGAAGAUCAGACCUGCCCUACUGGAGAUCCAUCACAGACCAACCAAUAAGAUGAAUAGAAAUAGCGGUAGCCCGAAAUGGACAAGAAGAUCCUCAGGCAUAUGCAUGGCUUGCUCAAUUGGCCCACGACCGAGUCUAGAUAUGGCGGGCAUCCCUCAUUCUCCUCCAUAAGGUGACAAUACACAGCAGGGUAGGUGAGUCAAUGACGGGUAAGAGCGUGCCUCCCCAGCACGACUCGACCUAAGCCAGGCCCUACCCCAUCCUGCACGUAAGCCGCUGGACUGUUAGAUGCUGCCCAGGUCUAAAUUUCUCUCCGAGGGGAUUUCUUUACGGAGAGGAAAUGAGUGCAAGCUUGUGUGCAUCCAGGUUCCGUCCAGUUUGUGCCUGGCCCUAGAAAAAGGACGAGGGCCUCAGGGCCUUGGCAGACCAUGGCAUGGCCAACCAGGGUCUAAGCCAAGGACCUACGGUGGACCUACACAUAGGGCAUAAGCCUCUGCACCCAGUCCAGGAAGGGCUACGAUGCGCACAUUCAUAAAAAAUAAAAUAGGGGGAGAUGUUGGGAGCCGCAGCCCCGAGCCCGGUCGCCUCACUUGGCGGACGUGCGGCCUGUGGUAAAGAGCAAAGCCUGGGGUAGAUUACCCCUCCCAUCGAAUAUGUUAGUUUCCUGCUUACCGCGUAAACAACCCGCUCAACAAUAUAGUCUGCCUGGCAACUGAUGAUGUUAGCCAAUCAGCUUGCCUUGCUUACUUUAACAUGAUUGGACACUGUACCCGUAUAUAUACCGGUGCCACCCCUGGGCGGAAGAAGAAGCCAGGUAGAAGCCCGGAAGUAAAAGCCCAAAAGGAGCCGCGGAGAGCGGACCGGUAGAGGCUUUGGGGCAGACUGAAGCACAAAAGGAGCCGCGGGGAGCGGACCAGAGGAGGCUUCAGCUGGGAGAACCCAGGGCAGGCUGUACGGAGAAGAAAAAUAAAAAGAAAAGGUUGUCCACUACCA